CAGUCGUACCUUCGGGUAAUCAGCCUUUUGGGUGUGAUUAUGUGGAGCGUGAGGAGUUAAUCGCCUUCAUGCCUGCAUAUUCGUGCACUUUGGGUGUACUUGCCCGUGUGGUUGGUUAACAUCAAUUUUGGUUAUCAUAAAAUGACUGGAGGAAUGUAGCUUCGAUCUCGUAUUGAAGUGUUAUAGACUCUGGUAGAUGUGACGAGUUGGGAUU
rnacentral:rRNA from 1 species